UGUAUUCAGAGAAAUGUUUGAUUUCAGGAUCCAGAAUACAAUGUUUUCUCAGAGGACUCGAAGAAAGGAAGCUUCAAUCUCAUAUUCAUAUUCCGCUUCAUCUGUGUCUUUGCAGUGCUGACAUAUCGAGGCUCUCAUCAGGUCAAAGUAGAGGGUGUUAUUGGCGGAUCUGUUCUAUUGCAUUGUUCUUCAACUUAGCAUGAUCUGAUACUUCUGGACAUUCAUGUACACUAGAGACACAAUGGCAGCAAGAUUGUGUGUGAUAUAUCUGUAAGUAAAGGUUUAGUAGUGGAACAGGACUAUGAAGGUAUUUUUGGUGCAAAACUCCCAAGCAGCUGUAAAAGUGUAAUUUGUAGUUGUAAAUAAUAGCCACAAAUGUGUAUCAGUAAAUUUGUACUCGGAGAGCAAAUUUGCAA